AGCAGCCGCGGUAAUUCCAGCUCCAAUAGCGUAUAUUAAAGUUGUUGCAGUUAAAAAGCUCGUAGUUGAAUUUCGGGAUCUGUCCAUUGGUCGGGCCCCACGGUCCGUACUGGUGUGAUGGGUUCCUACCUUCUGAAUAACCAGCAUGCCAUUUAGUUGGUGCGCCGGGGAAGCAGAGCUAUUACCUUGAAAAAUUAGAGUGCUUAAAGCAGGCUAUUUGCUUGAAUAGAUUAGCAUGGAAUAAUAAAAUAGGACGGCAUGGUUCUAUUUUGUUGGUUUCUAGGAUCACCGUAAUGAUUAAUAGGGAUAGUUGGGGCAUUAGUAUUCAAUUGUCAGAGGUGAAAUUCUUGGAUUUAUUGAAGACUAACUUCUGCGAAAGCAUUU
rnacentral:rRNA from 1 species